AUUGAACGCUGGCGGCAUGCCUUACACAUGCAAGUCGAACGGCAGCACGGGAGCAAUCCUGGUGGCGAGUGGCGAACGGGUGAGUAAAGUAUCGGAACGUGCCCAGUCGUGGGGGAUAACGUAGCGAAAGUUACGCUAAUACCGCAUACGAUCUACGGAUGAAAGCGGGGGAUCGCAAGACCUCGCGCGAUUGGAGCGGCCGAUAUCAGAUUAGGUAGUUGGUGGGGUAAAGGCUCACCAAGCCGACGAUCUGUAGCUGGUCGGAGAGGACGACCAGCCACACUGGGACUGAGACACGGCCCAGACUCCUACGGGAGGCAGCAGUGGGGAAUUUUGGACAAUGGGCGCAAGCCUGAUCCAGCCAUGCCGCGUGCAGGAUGAAGGCCUUCGGGUUGUAAACUGCUUUUGUACGGAACGAAAAGGUUUGACUUAAUACGUUGGACUCAUGACGGUACCGUAAGAAUAAGCACCGGCUAACUACGCGCCAGCAGCCGCCGUAA
rnacentral:rRNA from 1 species